AUACAGAGGGAGCAAGCGUUGUUCGGAUUUACUGGGCGUAAAGCGCGCGCAGGCGGGCGGAUAAGUCGGACGUGAAAAUUGUGGGCUCAACCUACAACCUGCGUCCGAAACUGUUCGUCUUGAGUACAGGAGAGGUGAGUGGAAUCUAUGGUGUAGCGGUGAAAUGCGUAGAUAUCAUAGAGAACACCGGUGGCGAAGGCGGCUCACUGGCCUGAUACUGACGCUGAGGCGCGAAAGCUAGGGGAGCGAACAGGAUUAGAAACCCCAGUAGUCC
rnacentral:rRNA from 1 species